GCCAGCAUGGCGUAGUGGUUUGAGUGCUGGACAGUGACUCUGGAGACCAGGCUUCGAAUCCUGGCUCAGCCA
rnacentral:tRNA from 1 species